AAGGGCAUCAUUUUCCGACAGGAGGUUUUUCUUAAUGAGAAACAGAAGAGGUGUAGUAGCAAGUAGAGGAUUGCGGAGUCCCCCUGAAAUAUAUUGGCUUUCUAGUUGUCGCAAGAUUAGUGUCGACGGUGGUUUACAAGAUUGAGCAGUCAGUAGGCGACGACCGAGCAGUGGGUCAGGAAUCUUUAGAGAUCUAGUCAGGAGCAGCAGCGGUGGUUCUGGUGUUGUUCGGAAGCCCCGACACACAUGAUUCUAGUUGCACUACGGGUGUAGUCGUUGGAUCAGCACUGAAUCCACCCAUUGCACAAGUUGAAUGUUGUGAUAUGAGUACAGUGAAUUGCUGCGUGAGCUUGCUGCUUUCUGAGCCCUUGAUGUGAAUGCCGUUAGUUGUUCCCCAGAGCCUCGGCAGAAUUCAGUUCAACAGGUUUGAUGGUUUGUGAUACAGAGGUCAAGGGGGGUUGCAUCUGAUUCGUGCACUUACAGCACCUCGUUGACGAACUUCUGAGUUUCCUCCAAUACUGAGGUAAGCACUGCAUUGCCGUACCCAGAUAGCAGGUUAUCCAAUUUUUCUAGAAUAUGGCUCGCCCAUUAAAAUUCUCAUUUCCUUCAUUUCUUUUUUUCUUUUUCUUUUUUUGUGACAGUAGGAAAUGAUAACGUGAACUUUGGAAAUUAAUGGGGGUGGGUGCAUCCAAGCUUGUCUCGUACACUGAUUGCUCACGUAUGAAAUAGCAUUUUUUUGGAUGGUAUAAAGAUUUUGGGGUGAAGGUGUUAGUGGAGUAUGGUGGCUACAGUGACUCACAUGAAGAACGUGCUAGAAGAUGUUCAACAUUCCAAAUGGUUAUUUCCAGGACAAAAGACGACUGAGUACUUCUCAGCUACUGAUUCUUGAGGGAAAGAGAACCCCCAGACGGAGUACUUAGAGCUAUCUGAUGGUUUAUCUAGUGAAGAGAUCAUAUCCUCUCAGCACUUCGAGCCUAUUGAAGUACAAGUCGAGCCUAGUACAAAUGUGAUUGAGAAUGCCAAGCCUGUCUAGUAGUAUGAAAGAGCAAUUUGAGCUUGCGCAAGGGGCAAGAGAUAGCUUGCCUGAAGCUGAGCUUGAUUGCCAUCGUCGAGUAAUAAACUUAUGCAAUGCUCAAACUGUUGAUCAGUCAUCAAAUAUUGCAGAGUGUGGUGAACUUUGGCGGGAAAAAUUUAUCCGGUUGUCGAGUGAAUAUUUCCCCGAUGUGGGGGGAAUACAAUUGAAAUUCUUGAGUGAGCUUUGCAUUGCUGCUUGUAAUUCCGAGAAGUUUUUUCUUAGCGUUGCAAGGAAUCAAUGGAUACGGACAAUUAUCAAAUCUGAGAAGGCUCCUCAAGAACUAUUUUCUCCAACAUCGACAGAGAAGGAAUGUCGUAUCCUCAGAUCCAAUAUCACCAUCCAUAGCAACAUUCUACCCUGUGAUCCAUUUUGGAGAAAGAUGCAAGAAACAAGAGAUGAUUCAAGCAACUGUGUGCAUUUUCCGUGUGUUAUUUUCAUGGAGGCAAUACAAGAAAAGAAAACAUUGACGCAAAAGUUAGUGGAAUGGCGGAUGAAGAAAGUAGCAUGUGAAUUCGGUCACCAUGGAUUCGGAGGAGCUGUGGAUGGAAACUCUACAGAAGAUCCUCCAAGGUUGUUUUGAAAUAUCCAAUCUGAUGAUGUAAUUAAAGAGAAACUGGUUGCUACGGAGAAUAUAUGGAGAGUGACAUGGAAAGGUGGUCGAUUUGUGGGAAAAGAUCGCAGAAGGUCUUGUUCCCAGAGGAGCGAUAACACUGAUCCUAGAGUUGAACCCUUGAACGAUGCGGACGAUGCGGACGAUGCGGAGCUCAGUAUUGUGGAACAUCUAUCUCAUCCUCACAUUGUUUAUAGCUUUGGAGUCUCUCAUUCUACAGACAAGCGUUCGAUAUUCAUGGAGGAAAUGGAUUCUGAUCUUAAUCAAUUAAUAGUCGAAAAAGUUCGUGAUAAUGGCAACGCGCCACCAUUUUCUCACCAUGACUCUGUUGAUAUACUACUGCAGUUGGCAAAAGCUAUGGCAUAUACGCAUGGAAAGGACGUGGUACAUGGGGGUCUGAAGCCUGAGAAUAUAUAUGUUAGCAAAAUAUUGAUAUCAUAGAAUGUAACACGUUACUUGGUUAAGGUUGCUGAUUUUGGUAGUGCUCAGUUUGUGAGUACGAAUCAGGAAUCCACACCUAAUUUUUAACCGGGAAGAUAUACUCCGCACUAUGCAGCACCAGAAACUUUGAAGUGGCACAAGAACAAGGAAGAGAUCAUCUAUUAUCCGAAAGCUCUUGAUGUCUACAGCUUUGGCAUUGCAGCAUUUGAGGUUCUUACAGGAGAGAAACCGUACGACCGCCCAAGAAUACGAGACAAAGUAAUUUAUGAUAAUUUGAGACCACACCUCCGUGAAAAUUGCCGAAAAAUGUCAAGGAACUUUCUAAAUGAUGAGAGAUUGAUAUCACUGGUUGAGAGUUGUUGGCAGGGUGAUCCCUUCAAAAGACCUUCUUUUGACAAAAUUGUCAAAGACUUGAUCGAUAUCCACACAGCCCUGAUUCUGAAGCCAACUCGGCGGAACGGCUACCUUCAACGACUAGGAAAAUACGUUAACUCCUCCAAUUUGUUUGGCGGAAAGAGAGACUGCUCUAGUUGAUUUGCUUAUUCUUUUGUGUUUGUACUUGUAUUUGCUUACUUUCUUCGCUUUUUAAUGUAUAUGUUCCAAUACCUUUCACAAUACAGCAGUUGUGCGUUUUGCCUAA